GGGUUGUGAGGUUAAGCGACUAAGCGUACACGGUGGAUGCCCUGGCAGUCAGAGGCGAUGAAGGGCGUGCUAAUCUGCGAUAAGCGCCGGUAAGGUGAUAUGAACCGUUAUAACCGGCGAUACCCGAAUGGGGAAACCCAGUGUGAUUCGUCACACUAUCAUUAACUGAAUCCAUAGGUUAAUGAGGCGAACCGGGGGAACUGAAACAUCUAAGUACCCCGAGGAAAAGAAAUCAACCGAGAUUCCCCCAGUAGCGGCGAGCGAACGGGGAGGAGCCCAGAGCCUGAAUCAGCAUGUGUGUUAGUGGAAGCGUCUGGAAAGGCGCGCGAUACAGGGUGACAGCCCCGUACACAAAAGCGCAUGUGCUGUGAGCUCGAUGAGUAGGGCGGGACACGUGGUAUCCUGUCUGAAUAUGGGGGGACCAUCCUCCAAGGCUAAAUACUCCUGACUGACCGAUAGUGAACCAGUACCGUGAGGGAAAGGCGAAAAGAACCCCGGCGAGGGGAGUGAAAAAGAACCUGAAACCGUGUACGUACAAGCAGUGGGAGCACAGGUUUACCUGUGUGACUGCGUACCUUUUGUAUAAUGGGUCAGCGACUUAUAUUCUGUAGCAAGGUUAACCGUAUAGGGGAGCCGUAGGGAAACCGAGUCUUAACCGGGCGUUAAGUUGCAGGGUAUAGACCCGAAACCCGGUGAUCUAGCCAUGGGCAGGUUGAAGGUUGGGUAACACUAACUGGAGGACCGAACCGACUAAUGUUGAAAAAUUAGCGGAUGACCUGUGGCUGGGGGUGAAAGGCCAAUCAAACCGGGAGAUAGCUGGUUCUCCCCGAAAGCUAUUUAGGUAGCGCCUCGUGAAUUCAUCUCCGGGGGUAGAGCACUGUUUCGGCUAGGGGGCCAUCCCGGCUUACCAACCCGAUGCAAACUGCGAAUACCGGAGAAUGUUAUCACGGGAGACACACGGCGGGUGCUAACGUCCGUCGUGAAGAGGGAAACAACCCAGACCGCCAGCUAAGGUCCCAAAGUCAUGGUUAAGUGGGAAACGAUGUGGGAAGGCCCAGACAGCCAGGAUGUUGGCUUAGAAGCAGCCAUCAUUUAAAGAAAGCGUAAUAGCUCACUGGUCGAGUCGGCCUGCGCGGAAGAUGUAACGGGGCUAAACCAUGCACCGAAGCUGCGGCAGCGACGCUUAUGCGUUGUUGGGUAGGGGAGCGUUCUGUAAGCCUGUGAAGGUGGCCUGUGAGGGUUGCUGGAGGUAUCAGAAGUGCGAAUGCUGACAUAAGUAACGAUAAAGCGGGUGAAAAGCCCGCUCGCCGGAAGACCAAGGGUUCCUGUCCAACGUUAAUCGGGGCAGGGUGAGUCGACCCCUAAGGCGAGGCCGAAAGGCGUAGUCGAUGGGAAACGGGUUAAUAUUCCCGUACUUGGUGUUACUGCGAAGGGGGGACGGAGAAGGCUAUGUUGGCCGGGCGACGGUUGUCCCGGUUUAAGCGUGUAGGUGUGUGUUCCAGGUAAAUCCGGUUCACUUUAACACUGAGGCGUGAUGACGAGGCACUACGGUGCUGAAGCAACAAAUGCCCUGCUUCCAGGAAAAGCCUCUAAGCAUCAGGUAACAUCAAAUCGUACCCCAAACCGACACAGGUGGUCAGGUAGAGAAUACCAAGGCGCUUGAGAGAACUCGGGUGAAGGAACUAGGCAAAAUGGUGCCGUAACUUCGGGAGAAGGCACGCUGACACGUAGGUGAAGUGAUUUACUCACGGAGCUGAAGUCAGUCGAAGAUACCAGCUGGCUGCAACUGUUUAUUAAAAACACAGCACUGUGCAAACACGAAAGUGGACGUAUACGGUGUGACGCCUGCCCGGUGCCGGAAGGUUAAUUGAUGGGGUCAGCGCAAGCGAAGCUCCUGAUCGAAGCCCCGGUAAACGGCGGCCGUAACUAUAACGGUCCUAAGGUAGCGAAAUUCCUUGUCGGGUAAGUUCCGACCUGCACGAAUGGCGUAAUGAUGGCCAGGCUGUCUCCACCCGAGACUCAGUGAAAUUGAACUCGCUGUGAAGAUGCAGUGUACCCGCGGCAAGACGGAAAGACCCCGUGAACCUUUACUAUAGCUUGACACUGAACAUUGAGCCUUGAUGUGUAGGAUAGGUGGGAGGCUUUGAAGCGUGGACGCCAGUCUGCGUGGAGCCGACCUUGAAAUACCACCCUUUAAUGUUUGAUGUUCUAACGUGGACCCGUGAUCCGGGUUGCGGACAGUGUCUGGUGGGUAGUUUGACUGGGGCGGUCUCCUCCUAAAGAGUAACGGAGGAGCACGAAGGUUGGCUAAUCCUGGUCGGACAUCAGGAGGUUAGUGCAAUGGCAUAAGCCAGCUUGACUGCGAGCGUGACGGCGCGAGCAGGUGCGAAAGCAGGUCAUAGUGAUCCGGUGGUUCUGAAUGGAAGGGCCAUCGCUCAACGGAUAAAAGGUACUCCGGGGAUAACAGGCUGAUACCGCCCAAGAGUUCAUAUCGACGGCGGUGUUUGGCACCUCGAUGUCGGCUCAUCACAUCCUGGGGCUGAAGUAGGUCCCAAGGGUAUGGCUGUUCGCCAUUUAAAGUGGUACGCGAGCUGGGUUUAGAACGUCGUGAGACAGUUCGGUCCCUAUCUGCCGUGGGCGCUGGAGAACUGAGGGGGGCUGCUCCUAGUACGAGAGGACCGGAGUGGACGCAUCACUGGUGUUCGGGUUGUCAUGCCAAUGGCACUGCCCGGUAGCUAAAUGCGGAAGAGAUAAGUGCUGAAAGCAUCUAAGCACGAAACUUGCCCCGAGAUGAGUUCUCCCUGAGACUUAGAGUCUCCUGAAGGAACGUUGAAGACGACGACGUUGAUAGGCCGGGUGUGUAAGCGCAGCGAUGCGUUGAGCUAACCGGUACUAAUGAACCGUGAGGCUUAACCUUACAACGCCGAAGCUGUU
rnacentral:rRNA from 1 species